rnacentral:rRNA from 1 species
CUUAAAUGAAUUGACGGGGCCGCACAAGCGGUGGAGCAUGUGGUUAAUUCGAAGCAACGCGAAGAACCUUACCAGGUCUUGACAUCCCGAUGCUAUUUCUAGAGAUAGAAAGUUACUUCGGUACAUCGGUGACAGGUGGUGUAUGGUUGUCGUCAGCUCGUGUCGUGAGAUGUUGGGUUAAGUCCCGCAACGAGCGCAACCCUUAUCUUUAAUUGCCAGCAUUCAGUUGGGCACUUUAAAGAGACUGCCGGUGUUAAACCGGAGGAAGGUGGGAUGACGUCAAGUCCUCAUGGCCUUUAUGCUUAGGGCUACACACGUGCUACAAUGGGUGGUACAAAGAGAAGCCAACUCGCGAGAGCGCGCCAAUCUCAAAAAGCCAUCCUCAGUUCGGAUUGGAGUCUGCAACUCGACUCCAUGAAGUUGGAAUCGCUAGUAAUCGCGGAUCAGCAUGCCGCGGUGAAUACGUUCCCGGGCCUU